CUUCCCCUUACUUAGUCCCUGCCCCCUUAGCAACCACGUUGCUAUGGAGACACUGCCCCCUCCCGCCCUCUCCGGCAUCCCAUAAUAGUCAUAAGCAGACUGCUCUGACAUCCCAUAAUAAACACAAGUCCUAAAAGAGAGGGAAGGAAAAAAACAACACCAGUCACAUGGUCUCCAGGGAAACCCCAGGCCACUGGUGACAGACCAUAAUAAUCUGUGGCUGUCUGUCCACCUGGCUCAGGCUUUGGUGCACGAACAACAGAAAAUACAUAUGAGUACCUGGUUGGAAGUCGGACUAACACGGAGUGCACUUCGGGUGUCUGUCAAACAUCACACACCUACAAGAGUGACACUUCACGGUUUCAGAGGGGCUGAAAUGUCAAGGUGCAACAGUGCUUCUUUUUAGUCCCAUAUCAGACCGAGUCUGAAGAGUGACUCCUGCGGGAAGCGGCAGAACUAAAACUCAAACUCUCAUGAAUGGGAUAUGCCCUGACAAUCCUGAAAUAGAACCUCACACACGUUUAGACUCUCUGACCUCCGGAGACUUGCUGACUUCAGCUACCUGUGCAUUACAACAGCACGUCGUGGGACUACAUGAAUGUGAGUGCAUUAGAAUCACAGUUGAGAACAUGACUGCAGCCAGUGAUCAGGCCAAAACCAGCAUGUCCAGUGCAAGUGUUGAGGACUACAGCAUUUGUGAGCCUACAUUCUAGAACACGUACGGCUGACACGUGUGGGCUCUCACACAGCUCUCCUUCCACGGGACCCCCAAGUGAAGCCACCAGCCGCACAGGACCUAGUUUACCUUACUCCUUCACCAGAUUUCUGCCGCUUGGAUCCAGACAAUGGCAUUCAUGGCACUGCAAGACGACGUUGUAAUAAACCUCACGGUUGGAACCAGAUGGAUGUGAACUGCCGCGAAUGAGACUUUCCUGGAGAAACCAAACACACCAGAAGCACCUCAUCUCAUGCCAGCCUGCAUUAACUCCCACAUGAUGAACAACAAACCAGCUCCAUUUAAAACAUUCUGCGUCAUGUCUCCUUUUUGGUGACUUUAAAGUUCUUUCGGAUACGUCAUUAUAUUAUACAGUUAUUUUAAUCUGCAGUUGCAUUUUUGAUUAAAAGUAAAGUGUUGAACUUGAACAUACAGGCACUAUUACAGUUCUUAAAUGCUCAAAUACACAUAACAUACAAAACCAUUAACUAAUUUCUCAGACAAUGCUCUUAAAGGCUGAGAUUAACCUCUGAAUAAUAGCAGAAGAAUGCCAGUUUAGUCUAAGGCCUUAGUGUCAAUUUCUAGUCGAGUUGCACUCUCUCCCAUACAUGUUUACUGUCAGGUUUGCUGAUUGUGUUUAUUUUAGUUCAUCAUGCCUGUGUGGCAUUAUGUGUGGAUGGAAAAUUCCACCUGCAAACUCUCCGGCUUUAGCGGUUUUGUUUCAGCUCGUCCUAUUGCAUAGAUGCUCAUUGCCAUUGUCUCAUUUCAUAAUCUAUACGGCCUAAAAUAAAGUUGUUUGACAUGUGGAAAGAUGCGGUUUUGUUAAUUAUUGAUCGACACAUUUUAAAUGAAUAAAUUAAAUUAAAAAUGCUGGGGUCAUAAAUAUUAAGUUCAAAAGAACAGCAUUUAUUUAAAAAAUAUAUUUUCUAACAUUAAAAAAAAUGCCUUUACUAUCACUUUUGAUCAAUUUAUGUACCCUUCCUGAAUGUCUCUUUGAAAAAUAAAAUAAAAAAUAAUAAUCUUACUGACCCCAAACUUUUGAAUAGUAUUAUGUGUGGCAAACACUAAACAAUCCCGUAAUUAUCUAAAAACAGGAUAGAAAUACAGCUGUGUGUCAGUCGCACCAUUUUUAUUACAAAUAUAGUGAGAUUCCAAGCCCUGGAGAACUUUACUAUGAAAAGGCCACGUUUCAAACCAUCAUCAUCGGUUAUACUCAUCCUUUAUACUCACACGACUGUUAAGAUCGGUUAUCCAAAAUAUUACAUUUCAAAUUGUUAUUUUAUUAUUAAAAUCACAAUCAAAUGGUACUCUAGCAAAAAAUAACAAUAAUAAAAUAAUAAUAAUAAAAUAGUCAUUUAAGAAAAAAAAAAAAAAGCUCAAGUUUCAAAAUGACACCACUAAAUUCAUUCACCCAAGAGAAUAACAGUAACACAUUUAAUACAUCAUGCUCAAAGUCAAAAAAAAAAAAAGAA